rnacentral:rRNA from 1 species
AUUGAACGCUGGCGGCAGGCUUAACACAUGCAAGUCGAGCGGGGUGAUGGUGCUUGCACUAUCACUUAGCGGCGGACGGGUGAGUAAUGCUUAGGAAUCUGCCUAUUAGUGGGGGACAACAUCUCGAAAGGGAUGCUAAUACCGCAUACGUCCUACGGGAGAAAGCAGGGGAUCACUUGUGCCCUUGCGCUAAUAGAUGAGCCUAAGUCGGAUUAGCUAGUUGGUGGGGUAAAGGCCUACCAAGGCGACGUUCUGUAGCGGGUCUGAGCGGAGGAUCGGCCACACUGGGACUGAGACACGGCCCAGACUCCUACGGGAGGCAGCAGUGGGGAAUAUUGGACAAUGGGGGGAACCCUGAUCCAGCCAUGCCGCGUGUGUGAAGAAGGCCUUAUGGUUGUAAAGCACUUUAAGCGAGGAGGAGGCUCUUUUGGUUAAUACCCAAGAUGAGUGGACGUUACUCGCAGAAUAAGCACCGGCUAACUCUGUGCCAGCCGCCGCAGUAA